UACGUAGGGUGCAAGCGUUGUCCGGAAUUAUUGGGCGUAAAGAGCUCGUAGGCGGUUUGUCGCGUCUGCUGUGAAAUCCCGAGGCUCAACCUCGGGCCUGCAGUGGGUACGGGCAGACUGGAGUGCGGUAGGGGAGAAUGGAAUUCCUGGUGUAGCGGUGGAAUGCGCAGAUAUCAGGAGGAACACCGAUGGCGAAGUCAGUUCUCUGGGCCGUAACUGACGCUGAGGAGCGAAAGCGUGGGGAGCGAACAGG
rnacentral:rRNA from 1 species